CAAACAGUGUGCUUCAAAAGAGAGAAAUCUCUCUGACACCAUCCACUGUUGUUCUCAAGAAGCUGGGAGAAACAGAUCGUCUCCCUUCAAGGACUGUGCUGAGAACUUUGCUUGUCAACAAAUCACCCAAGUGCCUUCGAAUGGUAUCUGGUAAAGUCUGUGGAGGUCUCCUGCUUCAGAACCAAAAUGAUUUAUUGAAGGGUGAACACAACACAACAUAGCUAGUGAUGAGGAGAAGGACAGCUUCUAUCAGCAGCUGGAAGAACUGACUGGCAGGAUUUCACAGCAGGAACCCAUUCUAGUACUCGGAGACUUCAUUGCAAGAGUUGGGUCCAAUGCUGAGAUGUGGCCUAGGAUUCUGGCUAGAUGAAGCCUUUUUAAUGACACCAGAAAACCUCCUCACCAGUACACCAGAAGGAAGUGUAUGCUUCUGCAGAGAAUAAAGACCUAAUGAGGCUGAAGAGUUAAGAAGUCAGCUCGGCAUCGAAUCUACACAAGCUCUUACAUCACGUGAACGUAAAGUUUUCAUGAAGUCUCUUGUUCGCGUUUCCUUUUAUGGCAUAAUGAAAUACUGCUUGAGGCAGAGACUUUUUGACCUAUGCUGGGGGUGCACAUUUGACUUAGGGGGUCAAGAAGCCCACGAAUGUAUUACUUGGUUAGAUGAAGACAUAAAAAAAAUAAUUCAGGAUCUUUGCCAGGAACUAUGUCUUGAUAGCAUUUUCAAUGCUGUUAUAAUCAUAGGGUUUGCCAGGAACAGUCUCAGAAUUACUGAGAAACACUUAAUUCAGGUUAGACAGCUUCUAAACACUGUGUAUUCUGCAGAAGAUCCUAAGGCUGCCCUUCAUGAUUUGAUCACUGAGGAAGAUGAAACACUCAUACCCCAUAUUGAACGCUUAAUUGGUGCUAGAGAUUAUAAAACCCUGCUUAAGAGAAGGGAUUAGCAAAACGAGUUUGGGGCGUACUUCUGUUGCUGUUCUGGGUGGGAGACUGGGGAAUGUGAGGCUGUAAAACACAACAACAGUUUUCUACAUCUAAUGUAUUUUAGCAUUUGCUUUAGUGUCUUGGAUAUCUAAUCACAUACAUAUAGGGUUUUUUUUGUAAAGAUAAAACAAUGAUACUUAAUGGUCAUUAGAAAUGAUAAAAAUCCUUCUUAGGAGAAGGGGUAACAAAAUAAACUAGUAAAAUAUUGUAAAAGUUUUAAUGGAAAUAAAGACUGAAUUUAAAAACA